rnacentral:rRNA from 1 species
UCGGCUUAGAGUUUGAUCAUGGCUCAGAUUGAACGCUGGCGGCAGGCUUAACACAUGCAAGUCGAACGGUAAAGUAGCUUGCUACUUACGAGUGGCGGACGGGUGAGUAACGUAUGGGAAUUUACCGAAUGGAGGGGGACAACAGUUGGAAACGGCUGCUAAUACCGCAUAACGUCGAGAGACCAAAGGGUUUCGACUUGCCAUUUGAUGAGCCCAUAUGAGAUUAGCUAGUUGGUGUGGUAAUGGCUCACCAAGGCGACGAUCUCUAGCUGGUUUGAGAGGAUGACCAGCCACACUGGGACUGAGACACGGCCCAGACUCCUACGGGAGGCAGCAGUGGGGAAUAUUGCACAAUGGGGGGAACCCUGAUGCAGCCAUGCCGCGUGUAUGAAGAAGCCUUAGGGUUGUAAAGUACUUUCGUGGAGGAGGAAGGGUUUACGUAAUCGUGGACAUUGACGUUACUCCAAGAAGAAGCACCGGCUAACUCCGUGCCAGCAGCGCGGUAAUACGGAG